rnacentral:lncRNA from 1 species
GGUAAAGGACUGAAGCUGUGGAGAGCCCACUGAGAGACAGACAGUGAAGACAGCCUACAGCCCUGGGAGGCCGUGGGGACUCUGUCUACUAUGGGCAGUGCUGGGAGCAGCCUCGUGGGCCUUGGGGCCUGGGAGGGGACGGUGGAGGGAGCCUCUGAGAGCUGGGAGGUGGCCCAGACCCACAAAGGGUCACUUCAAGCCCGUUUACCCCUCAGUCUUUGAAAAAAAGGGCGACCGUGUUGAUGUUGAAUCUGCAGUCAACCAACAGUUAAAGCUGUAGUUUAUACCCAACAGGUGUGCGGAUGAACCUUAAAGAAUUCUGAGCUCUGUGUGAAGUUCUGUAUCUCACAUGAUUUACAUUCUGCGGCUGUGAGAGAAGCUGCCAGGAUCUGGACAUAUAACCAUGUGAGGGCAAAGCUCCAUCCACGCUAGCCUGCAACACACACGGCGUGGUGGCUGGAGGCGUUCAAAUAACACCUGCCGUGAAGCCUUUCAGGGAAGGGAAACCGGCCUUAGAUCACUCAGCUGCUGCUGUUUCCUGUGAUCUGUGUUUAGAACCCACCAAACACCCAGCCCCAGUGGCAGGGUCCUCUCCUCUGUUGGUGACCUGCUUGCUGACCCCGGCCACCUCCUUGCGCAGCCCCUCACGUCAUCAUGCUGGGGAUCAGAGGCCCUGAGAGCUCCCAUGGCGUGAGCAGCCGCGGUGACAUGAGGUCACGAAACGCCAAGCUGACACAUUCCCGUGAAAAUGCUGUGAUGGGUGUUUAGUCUUCACGUCAGCAUGCUGUCCCUGUGUCUGCUUGACCUGGCUGUGUGUGUGAUCAGCCCCUGCCUCGCCCAACAGCUCCAAUGCAGCAAAACAGAUCACCAACGACAUUGCCGUGCUCCUGAUCAUCUUGCUGUUGCGGCUUCUCUACCUGAACAUUCUAGGUGUGGCCGUGUCUGUCUUAGCACCCACUCUAUGGAAAAGAUGUAGCGUCUGAGCUCAUGAAUUUAGAAUUGAGAAGAAACCUUGGUGUGAACCUAACGAGUCUCCCUUCCACGGUGAGGAGCUGCCCUGCCCUCCGGCCGUGUGGCAUGCUGAUGGCACAGCUGACCUGCAAUUUAAGGCAUCUCAUCCUCUAUCCAAACGCCAGGAGGAUGAAGUGGACUGCGUUUCCGUUAUACCGAAGCAUGAUGAAUGGAGUGAAUGGCAUGAGUACCAGAAGGAAGCAGAUCUGUGUUACAGGCAAAGUAUUUCUAUCUUUACCUUGACAUCUGUAAGCUUCUAAUCAGAAGAAAUGUCAAGACACAACUGUACUACUGAUUUCUUCUAUGAAGAUCUCAUGCCCCAUUUGCCUUGCCUUCGUAAUGUAGUCAUUAUUCAGCAACCAGACGGAGACACUGCUAGCUCACUCCUAAACUUGUAGUCAUUUGAAAAGUUAGUAUGCCCAGA